AGAGGACGAUCAGCCACACUGGGACUGAGACACGGCCCAGACUCCUACGGGAGGCAGCAGUGGGGAAUUUUGGACAAUGGGGGCAACCCUGAUCCAGCAAUGCCGCGUGAGUGAAGAAGGCCUUCGGGUUGUAAAGCUCUUUUGUCAGGGAAGAAACAGCAGCUCUAACACAGUCUGCGAAUGACGGUACC
rnacentral:rRNA from 1 species